GUAAUCGUAUCUAUUCUUUUUUGAAGACUUUAUGAUCCAUUUGCCUUGGGUCCCACCAUCUAUGUAGGAAUACCCUUUUUUGUUUAGAAGAGCUUUGAUAUAUGCUAAAUAUUCGAAAACAAUGUCCGAACAUAUAAUUUUCGCCCCGAAAUAUAACAAAGAUCACGAAAAGGCCCGAAAAAGUACAUUAAGGUCAAAAUUUGGAGUAGAAAAAAAACACAAUAAAAGAAUUCCAUUUUCCUUCCUCAUUCAUCGGAGAGCUCUAUUUGGGCUUUCCGAAAAGGUAUCACAUGCCAAGUUUGGCCUCACGGUCUAAAAGUUCUAGAGUCAUACAUUUUUGACAAAACAAAACAGAAAAACCAAAAAAAAAGAGGGAUGCAACACGAGGACUUUCCAGGAGGUCACCCAUCCUAGUACUACUCUCGCCCAAGCACGCUUAACUGCGGAGUUUUGAUGGGAUCUGGUGCAUUAGUGCUGGUAUGAUCGCAUCCGGUACUACAUGCAAUGCAAUCGUAUAUAUUCUUUUUUGAAGACUUUAUGUUCGAUUUGCCGUGGGUUCCACCAGCUAUGUAGGAAUACCUUAUCUUGUUUAUAAGAGAUUUUAUACAUCCAAAAUAUUCGAAAACAAUGUCCGAACAUAUAAUUUCGCCCCGUAAUAUAGCAAAGAUCACGAAAAGGCCCGAAAAAGUACAUUAAGGUCAAAAGUUGGAGUAGAAAAAAACACAAUAGAAGAAUUCCAUUUUCCUUCCUCAUCAUCGGAGAGCUCUUUUUGGGCUUUCCGAAAAGGUAUCACAUGCCAAGUGUUUGGCAUCACGGUCUAAAAGUUCUAGAGUCAUACAUUUUUGACAAAAGAAAAAGAGAAAAACCGAAAAAAAGAGGGAUGAAACACGAGGACUUUCCUGGAGGUCACCCAUCCUAGUACUACUCUCGCCCAAGCACGCUUAACUGCGGUUUUUUGAUGGGAUCUGGUGCAUUAGUGCUGGUAUGAUCGCAUUCGUUACUACAUGCAAUGCAAUCGUAUCUAUUCUUUUUUGAAGACUUUAUGAUCAAUUUGCUGUGGGUCCCACCAGCUAUGUAGGAAUACCCUAUCUUGUUUAUAAGAGCUUUGAUACAUGCAAAAUAUUCGAAAACAAUGUGCGAACAUAUUAU
rnacentral:sRNA from 1 species